AUCUGCGCUAGAUUGACACACAAAAUCAAUUUGUGUAUUAAUAUAAAUCAAAGAAUAAUUUCAGCAAUCAUACUUCAAGCAUUAGUACUUGGUGGCUGGCAUAUCUAGAAAGCCAAAAAAAUCAGCACAAGAUCAGUUAAUAUUGGAAAAUAUAUGUUAGAAUAACAUCUGUUGAAGAAGUCAUGAUUUAUUCAACAAAAGUAUGCUUCAAGCAGCAAACAUAUCAUAAUCUGUGAUAAAAGGUAGUAUGAAGACAUGCCUUAAGGUUCUAGAAAGGCAUGCAUCAAGAGGUUACGAGAUUCAGCAUCUAUGCCUAUUCAUUACAAUUUAUAUUCUAGGUAUUUAUCAAAACAUAUAAUUAGAUAGAGGUAUUUUUAUUUUGUAAAUUGCAAUUUCAUCUACUUAAUUGUAACAGUAUGGGCACCAUUGGCCCAUUGUUACUUUUCAUUGACAUACUGAUAACAUUAUAUUAUAAAAUCACCGGCUAUUAUUUUGUAA